UACGGAGGGGGCUAGCGUUGUUCAGAAUUACUGGGCGUAAAGCGCGCGUAGGCGGACCUGCAAGUCGGGGGUGAAAGCCCGAGGCUCAACCUCGGAACUGCCUUCGAUACUGCGGGUCUCGAGUCCGGGAGAGGUGAGUGGAAUUCCUAGUGUAGAGGUGAAAUUCGUAGAUAUCAGGAAGAACACCAAUGGCGAAAGCAGCUUUCUGGGACGGUACUGACGCUGAGACGCGAAAGCGUGGGGAGCGAACAGG
rnacentral:rRNA from 1 species